rnacentral:hammerhead_ribozyme from 1 species
AUUUAGCGGACGAGUCCCAAAUAGGACAAAAACACGUGUUUUAAAU